AAACUUACGAAUAAAAAAUACGAAUAGCUGCUCAGAAGAAUAGAUCGGACUUUAUAUGGCAAUUGGGUCGCUCAGUCAGGUAUGACGACGGACCGUCGACUCACCAGGCAUAAAAUGCACGUCCUGCCUACAUGCAUAAGGGGUCAUCUCAAAGAUAGUUUAUGCUUUUUCAUGUGGGUUGAAUAUGUCUCAUCUAUUGAUCAUAAAGUUUAUGUUGAGAUACCUAACAGGGUAUGAUACCCAUGGAAAAGCUUAAAUCAGCCAUCGUAUUAAAUGUCUCAAAAUAUAUAGGUGGCAUGACCACCCGAAGAUCGACAGGACUGGAUAUUAUUUCUAAAUUGUUAUGACAUGCCGUUUGCUUCCCAGUUUAUUCCCCCAAAG